rnacentral:misc_RNA from 1 species
GAUGAAGGAACGUAGUGAAAUGCGAUAAGUAAUGUGAAUUGCAGAAUUCAGUGAAUCAUCGAAUCUUUGAACGCACAUUGCGCCCGCCAGUAUUCUGGCGGGCAUGCCUGUUCGAGCGUCAUUUCAACCAUCAAGCCCCAGGCUUGUGUUGGGGACCUGCGGCUGCCGCAGGCCCUGAAAACCAGUGGCGGGCUCGCUGUCACACCGGGCGUAGUAGAUUUUAUCUCGCUCUGGGCGUGCUGCGGGUUCCGGCCGUUAAAAAACCCUUUUAACCCAAGGUUGACCUCGGAUCAGGUAGGAAUACCCGCUGAACUUAAGCAUAUCAAUAAGCGGAGGA